rnacentral:rRNA from 1 species
GUUAUAUGGUCAAGUGAAGAAGCGCAUACGGUGGAUGCCUUGGCAGUCAGAGGCGAUGAAAGACGUGGUAGCCUGCGAAAAGCUUCGGGGAGUCGGCAAACAGACUGUGAUCCGGAGAUGUCUGAAUGGGGGAACCCAGCCAUCAUAAGAUGGUUAUCUUGUACUGAAUACAUAGGUGCAAGAGGCGAACCAGGGGAACUGAAACAUCUAAGUACCCUGAGGAAAAGAAAUCAACCGAGAUUCCCUNGGGGACCAGCCCUUAAGUUGUAUUGAGAUUAGCGGAACGUUCUGGAAAGGACGGCCAUAGUGGGUGAUAGCCCUGUACGCGAAAAUCCCUUUGCAAUGAAAUCGAGUAGGACGGGGCACGAGAAACCUUGUCUGAAUAUGGGGGGACCAUCCUCCAAGGCUAAAUACUACUGACUGACCGAUAGUGAACCAGUACCGUGAGGGAAAGGCGAAAAGAACCGCGGAGAGCGGAGUGAAAUAGAUCCUGAAACCGUAUGCGUACAAGCAGUGGGAGCCCACUUUGUUGGGUGACUGCGUACCUUUUGUAUAAUGGGUCAGCGACUUAUUUUCAGUGGCGAGCUUAACCGAAUAGGGGAGGCGUAGCGAAAGCGAGUCUUAAUAGGGCGUCUAGUCGCUGGGAAUAGACCCGAAACCGGGCGAUCUAUCCAUGGGCAGGUUGAAGGUUGGGUAACACUAACUGGAGGACCGAACCGACUACCGUUGAAAAGUUAGCGGAUGACCUGUGGAUCGGAGUGAAAGGCUAAUCAAGCUCGGAGAUAGCUGGUUCUCCUCGAAAGCUAUUUAGGUAGCGCCUCAUGUAUCACUGUAGGGGGUAGAGCACUGUUUCGGCUAGGGGGUCAUCCCGACUUACCAAACCGAUGCAAACUCCGAAUACCUACAAGUGCCGAGCAUGGGAGACACACGGCGGGUGCUAACGUCCGUCGUGAAAAGGGAAACAACCCAGACCGUCAGCUAAGGUCCCAAAGUCAUGGUUAAGUGGGAAACGAUGUGGGAAGGCUUAGACAGCUAGGAGGUUGGCUUAGAAGCAGCCACCCUUUAAAGAAAGCGUAAUAGCUCACUAGUCGAGUCGUAGACAGCUAGGAGGUUGGCUUAGAAGCAGCCACCCUUUAAAGAAAGCGUAAUAGCUCACUAGUCGAGUCGGCCUGCGCGGAAGAUGUAACGGGGCUCAAACCAUGCACCGAAGCUACGGGUAUCAUCUUUUGAUGAUGCGGUAGAGGAGCGUUCUGUAAGCCUGUGAAGGUGAGUUGAGAAGCUUGCUGGAGGUAUCAGAAGUGCGAAUGCUGACAUGAGUAACGACAAUGGGUGUGAAAAACACCCACGCCGAAAGACCAAGGUUUCCUGCGCAACGUUAAUCGACGCAGGGUUAGUCGGUCCCUAAGGCGAGGCUGAAAAGCGUAGUCGAUGGAAAACAGGUUAAUAUUCCUGUACUUCUGGUUAUUGCGAUGGAGGGACGGAGAAGGCUAGGCCAGCCUGGCGUUGGUAGUCCAGGUUUAAGGUGGUAGGCUGAGAUCUUAGGUAAAUCCGGGAUCUUAAGGCCGAGAGCUGAUGACGAGUGUUCUUUUAGAACAUGAAGUGGUUGAUGCCAUGCUUCCAAGAAAAGCUUCUAAGCUUCAGGUAACCAGGAACCGUACCCCAAACCGACACAGGUGGUUGGGUAGAGAAUACCAAGGCGCUUGAGAGAACUCGGGUGAAGGAACUAGGCAAAAUGGCACCGUAACUUCGGGAGAAGGUGCGCCGGUGGAGGUGAAGCAUUUACUGCGUAAGCCCCUGCCGGUCGAAGAUACCAGGCCGCUGCGACUGUUUAUUAAAAACACAGCACUCUGCAAACACGAAAGUGGACGUAUAGGGUGUGACGCCUGCCCGGUGCCGGAAGGUUAAUUGAUGGGGUUAGCGCAAGCGAAGCUCUUGAUCGAAGCCCCGGUAAACGGCGGCCGUAACUAUAACGGUCCUAAGGUAGCGAAAUUCCUUGUCGGGUAAGUUCCGACCUGCACGAAUGGCGUAACGAUGGCGGCGCUGUCUCCACCCGAGACUCAGUGAAAUUGAAAUCGCUGUGAAGAUGCAGUGUAUCCGCGGCUAGACGGAAAGACCCCGUGAACCUUUACUAUAGCUUUGCACUGGACUUUGAAUUUGCUUGUGUAGGAUAGGUGGGAGGCUUUGAAGCGUGGACGCCAGUCUGCGUGGAGCCAACCUUGAAAUACCACCCUGGCAACUUUGAGGUUCUAACUCAGGUCCGUUAUCCGGAUCGAGGACAGUGUAUGGUGGGUAGUUUGACUGGGGCGGUCUCCUCCUAAAGAGUAACGGAGGAGUACGAAGGUGCGCUCAGACCGGUCGGAAAUCGGUCGUAGAGUAUAAAGGCAAAAGCGCGCUUGACUGCGAGACAGACACGUCGAGCAGGUACGAAAGUAGGUCUUAGUGAUCCGGUGGUUCUGUAUGGAAGGGCCAUCGCUCAACGGAUAAAAGGUACUCCGGGGAUAACAGGCUGAUACCGCCCAAGAGUUCAUAUCGACGGCGGUGUUUGGCACCUCGAUGUCGGCUCAUCACAUCCUGGGGCUGAAGCCGGUCCCAAGGGUAUGGCUGUUCGCCAUUUAAAGUGGUACGCGAGCUGGGUUUAGAACGUCGUGAGACAGUUCGGUCCCUAUCUGCCGUGGACGUUUGAGAUUUGAGAGGGGCUGCUCCUAGUACGAGAGGACCGGAGUGGACGAACCUCUGGUGUUCCGGUUGUCACGCCAGUGGCAUUGCCGGGUAGCUAUGUUCGGAAAAGAUAACCGCUGAAAGCAUCUAAGCGGGAAACUUGCCUCAAGAUGAGAUCUCACUGGAACCUUGAGUUCCCUAAAGGGCCGUCGAAGACUACGACGUUGAUAGGUUGGGUGUGUAAGCGCUGUGAGGCGUUGAGCUAACCAAUACUAAUUGCCCGUGAGGCUUGACCAUAUAACACCCAAGCAAUU